rnacentral:rRNA from 1 species
UGAGUAACACGUUGAAACCUGCCCCAAAGUGAGGAAUAAGCCACCGAAAGGUGGUCUAAUACUUCAUAAUAUCCAUCUCGUAUGGAUUAAAGCUUUAUGCGCUUUGGGAGGGGCCUGCGUAACAUUAGCUUGUUGGUGUGGUAAAAGCUCACCAAGGCUUCGAUGUUUAACUGGUUUGAGAGGAUGACCAGUCACACUGGGACUGAGAUACGGCCCAGACUCCUACGGGAGGCAGCAGUAAGGAAUCUUCCACAAUGGGGCAACCCUGAUGGAGCAAUACCGCGUGCAGGAUGAAGCGUUUCGGCGUGUAAACUGCUUUUAUCACCGAAGAUUAUGACUGUAGGUGAAGAAUAAGGACCGGCUAACUACGUG